UGGUGACAGAGCCACACUUUGUUGGGCAGUUAGGCAGAGAUAGUAACUGAGAUGCUACUUUUGAUAAAAAGACCGUAACAACCACCAGAAACAGCAGGUGUUUUGAGUGCAAAACCAUGAGCAUGGAUUUGCUAAUUUUUCAGGUUCAUCAUUGUACAAAUCCUUUGAUUGUUUUUUAGAUUUUAUUUCUUCUCCUUGUAAUACUAUUUAAAAGAAAAAAGGUCAAAAUGACUGAAUCUUCUUGCAAUGGUGUUAAUUAUGUUUUUGUUAAGAAGUCCCACUUCGGAUGUGAGAUGGCCUGAAUAUGAGUUUAUAAAGCAGAGGCAAUCUUCAGCUUACAAGCCGGUUUUGUAAGGUUGAGUUAGGUCCAACUUCCGAUUCUAAAAGAUGUAACCAAAAAAAGAAUAUGUCAAAAGAAACCCUAUGUUAUGAAAAUGAAAUUAAUUAAACAUGGUCAGAAGCUAGCAGAUUAAAUAAAACCGUGUCUUCUUUACUGACCCAUUCUACCUUUAAAACUUAAACAACAUUGUUAAAGAUAUUUUGAAACAAAAAAAUUGGGGAUUAGGAAAUUUAUCAUUAACUAAAGUGUCACGAAUUACAAAUUUACAACUAUAGGGAAUUUGAAUUUGAACACUAUCCUUUAGGUUACAAAGUCAAGCUCUAAUUACUAAAGCAUACAUCUCAUGGAGAUUGCAAUCGCUUUAUUAUUAAAAAUUAAAAAAAUAUGUCUUUAAUAUGAUAUAUAGUAUUAGUAUGUCUCUGUUGUUGAUAAAGUCAUUGUUUUUGCUGACAUGUAUGUGCAUAUUUUAUUUUGUUGAUAAAGUCUUCUAAACUAUUUUUUAUUUAUUUAAACAUGAUAACUAAACUUAGUUUUUUUAAUAAUUUAUAUAAACUCCUAGGGUAAAUCCUAAAAUCGUGCACACAUAUUGUUUUUUUAUUUAUAAAGGUUCAUGCAGAGGACAACAGUGGAUGUUUAUGAAUGUAGGAGAUCAUUUUCAUCUCACAGGAAGCUUGCUUUGGUUAGUUGGUUCUCUUUUAUCUGUGCCUUCAAUUCGAUCUAUGUUUUGUUAUUCAAGUUUUGUUUGAAAUUGAAGUGCUGAUAUGUAAGUGAGAUUUGUGAAUUCAAUGCAGUAAUGCCAUAUAUAGCAUCUCUGUGUGUUUACUUCUAAGUGCAUAAUUUAUGUUAAUCAAUGGUUAUGUCUAGGAAAUUAAACAUGUACUGAUAUGUGUGUCUUACUUUUAUUUUGCUCUUUUCUUAUUUACGUUUCUAUUAUAUUAUGCCAAAGAUUCAUUCUAACUUGUGGCAGGAUAAAUUUGAACACAUUGGUUAACUCAAUUUAUCGUGUACAAUUCUGUGUUUUAAUGGAAGUAUUGGUAUUGUAAAAAGUUUUGCAUUGUUUCUGGGGUUCAUAUUCAUGUGUGCAUCACAUAUAAAUCCUAACAAAAGUGAAUUAAGUAGUAAAAUAAGUGUAUUUUAUAGUAGUCAUAACAUAAAUUCUUAUGAAAAUUUAAUACAUGUAACUCAGAUCUCUUGUGCUUGUAUUAGGUUCACAGCUCUAGAAAUCUGAAUUGUAAGAACUUUCAAUCCUAAGCAAAACUAAAAUCAUAUAUCAGAUCAUUGGAUUUAUAAAUAUUAUUAGAUUAAGAUAAGAAAUCAGCCGCAAAGUCUUUUUCGCAAUAUUAAGUUGGAGGAAGACUGUAAGAGAAACAAUAAGAAAAUUUUGAAGCGAUAGUGAUAGAGAUAUGAAUGUCAUGUCCAAUACAGUAGAGGAAAUACAACAUACACUGUAUUUACACCAUUACAAUGAAGAUAGAUUAAAAUCAAAUCCUGAGUAUUAAUAUCAAUUCUAAUCAUCUUCCACCAAUCGUUGACAUCGACAUCUGGUUCGUGCUAUAUGAGUCAGAACAAUUAGUGCCACUUCCAUAGACUCCGUCUUCACCGUUGAUGGACGGCACUGUUCUUAGCAAGUUAUCAGUCUCUUCUGAAGAUAAAUUGCCACUUCCCCAACUGUGCUCUUCAAUCACUAAUAUUCCCUCUAGUUCCAUUGCCACUUCUUUCAUGGUAGGUCUUUCGUCACUAUUCACCCUUAAACACCUUUCUGCAAUAUGGGCUACUUCCUUUAGUUGCUCAAUAUUCGCCUCAUCUAUAUUUGUGUCCAAAAUAUGAUGUAACCAACCCUCUUUCAUUGAAGAAACAAAGUACACUGCAAGGUUUCUAUCUUCCUCUGGCCUGUUAAAAGACAGUGCCUGCUUUCCCGUAAGUAGCUCUGCGAGGACAACCCCAAAGCUAUAGACGUCACUCUUCUCUGUUAAGUGGCUUGUGUGGAAAUAUUCUGGGUCAAGAUACCCCAAUGUUCCCUGCACUAGAGUGGUUAUCUGACUGUGAUCAAGAGGAACAAUCCUAGAAGCUCCAAAGUCAGAAACCUUUGCGGUGAGAUUGCGAUCUAGAAGUAUAUUUGUAGAUUUCACAUCUCUAUGUAUGAUUGGUGUAGAAGCAGUAGAAUGCAAGUAUGCUAGGACUCCAGCAGUUUCUUUUGCUAUUCUUAGUCUUGUUUUCCAUGUAAGCUUUAAAGUUUGGUUUUGACCAUGAAGAUGAUCAUGAACUGUUCCAUUGGGAAUGAAUUCAUAAACAAGCAAGGGAACUUCUGUUUCUAAACAACAACCCAAGAGCUUUACCACAUUUCUAUGGUUGAUUUGGGAAAGCACUAUCACUUCAUUGAUGAACGGCUCAAUUUGGUUUGGGUCACUGAUUUUGGACUUCUUUAUUGCUACAAUUCUUUUAUCUUGUAAAACUCCUUUGUAAACUGUUCCCUGACCACCUUGGCCUAGGAUCUUUCUUUCGUCGAAGUUGUUGGUUGCUUUGUUUAGCUCCUCAACAGUGAAGACUCUAGCUGUUUCAGUUGACCCUCCAUGCCUCACUAGUUGUUGUUGCAAGUGUAAGCCACCAUUUUGUUGAAAAAAUUGUUCUUUAAGUUUAAUGAGCUUCCUUUUCUUCAUUACCAAAUAAGCAUAAAAGCUUCCAACCAGUAGUGCAACGAGGCUUAUGCUGAGACCUGGACAUAAAUGGAAACAUGAUAAUUUUCUUUCUGCUCUGCUUAGUUUGUUGAUGUUUCAAGUUAUCAAUGACAUUAGUCAAAAUGCCACCGUUCUAGUCUUGUAGGAAUACCUUGGGCAUAUCAGUGUAAAUUCAGAACAAUUUAUAACAUGUUUUAAUAUUGUUGGUUGCCAAUGAAACUGGUGUUUUGUACUUACUCAAUGCAAUGAUCAAUAUGAUCUCUUUCCUUGAUUUGGUGUUCGAUUUUGGACUGCAUCUUGUUCCAUUCAUCUUCCCGUUUCCCUCAUAUUCCGCUGGACAUAAACAAUGGUAGCUUCCAGGAAGAUUGAUGCACGUUGCCCCCUCAACACAGUCAUUGUACUCAAUGCAUUCAUUAAUAUCUAAAGGAUAAUUUGUUAGUUUUGGUUUCUGUUUUCGUAAUGGAUGAUUGAGUUUGAUAAGAACGAUAGUUACUGUUAUGGAUUGUCAAUAACCUGCAUUCAAAUGAAAACAACAAAACCGACACACAAAAUACAACAAUCCAAACAAAACUAUAAAUAUAAACUAGCAAACACGAGUCGGCUAAAAAAGGGAAAACGAAGAAGAAUAACGCCAAGAAAUAUGUGGUUGGGUCAUAAGACUUAAUUCACGAGAAAGAAAGCAAUAAUGAAUCCACUAUGAGGAGAAGAACAAGAUUAAAGCCAAUAUACCAUAGAAUUUAUGUGGUCCUUUGCUUCACUGAUGUUGAGAAACAACAAGAAUCCUCAAUCCCUUUCACACUCUAUCAACUGUAAGUAAUUUUUACCCAGUCAUAUCUAAGUGCAGAGAUGAACUUAUGAUCACAAGACUCAUCCAUGUCUUUAGCUAACAAAUUUACAUAAUUGUUUCUAUUUGUCAUUUCUCAUCAAAGUCAUUGACGACACCCUAUAUAUAUCCACGUUGAGAAGAUUCAUACAAAUAUCUCAAAAAUAUAAUCUAAUUAACAGAUAAGAAAUAUACACACACAUUACCUUGGCAACCAUGAAUGAGGUAAGGAUUUCCCUGAUAUCCAUGAAAGCAUCUGCAAAGGUAACCAGGUCUCUCGGUUGCAUCGUAACAUGUACUUGUGUUGUCCUUACAGGCAUAAUUUGAAAGAUCCUUCUGAGCUUGCUGGCAUGUUAGGUUCCCUACUGCCCAGUUCAACAACACUGGAAACUCCUCCU
rnacentral:lncRNA from 1 species